rnacentral:rRNA from 1 species
ACCAGAGUACUAUGAAUGUUAAAAAUUUAAAACUCAAAGAACUUGGCGGUGUUUUAGACCACUUAGGGGAACCUGUCUCGUAAUCGAUAGUCCACGUUGUAUCUGACCUUUUUUUGUUUUCAGUUUGUAUACCGUUGUCGUCAGGUAACUUUUUAGAGAUUAGAAGUUAGCAAUGGAAAUGUGAUAAUUUAGUACGUCAAAUCAAGGUGCAGCUAAUAAGAAGGGGAGGAUGGGUUACAGUUAUGUGAUUUAUAAUACGGAAAAAUGCAUGAAAUGGCAUUAAUUUAAGGCGGACUUGAAAGUAAAUUAGAUUAUAUGAAUAAUUUGAAUGAGGCUCUGAAACGUGU